rnacentral:rRNA from 1 species
AUACGGAGGGGGUUAGCGUUGUUCGGAAUUACGGGGCGUAAAGCGCACGUAGGCGGAUUAAAAAGUUAGAGGUGAAAUCCCAGGGCUCAACCCUGGAACUGCCUUUAAAACUAGUAGUCUAGAGUUCGAGAGAGGUGAGUGGAAUUCCAAGUGUAGAGGUGAAAUUCGUAGAUAUUUGGAGGAACACCAGUGGCGAAGGCGGCUCACUGGCUCGAUACUGACGCUGAGGUGCGAAAGCGUGGGGAGCAAACAGGAUUAGAUACCCUAGUAGUCC